GAUGAACGCUGGCGGCGUGCCUAAUACAUGCAAGUCGAGCGAACGGACGAGAAGCUUGCUUCUCUGAUGUUAGCGGCGGACGGGUGAGUAACACGUGGAUAACCUACCUAUAAGACUGGGAUAACUUCGGGAAACCGGAGCUAAUACCGGAUAAUAUUUUGAACCGCAUGGUUCAAAAGUGAAAGACGGUCUUGCUGUCACUUAUAGAUGGAUCCGCGCUGCAUUAGCUAGUUGGUAAGGUAACGGCUUACCAAGGCAACGAUGCAUAGCCGACCUGAGAGGGUGAUCGGCCACACUGGAACUGAGACACGGUCCAGACUCCUACGGGAGGCAGCAGUAGGGAAUCUUCCGCAAUGGGCGAAAGCCUGACGGAGCAACGCCGCGUGAGUGAUGAAGGUCUUCGGAUCUUAAAACUCUGUUAUUAGGGAAGAACAUAUGUGUAAGUAACUGUGCACAUCUUGACGGUACCUAAUCAGAAAGCCACGGCUAACUACGUG
rnacentral:rRNA from 1 species